rnacentral:rRNA from 1 species
ACACAUGCAGUCGACGGUGACCUGCUUCGGUGGGGGAUCAGGGGCGAACGGGUGAGUAACACGUGGGCAACCUGCCCUCAGCUCUGGGAUAACUCCAAGAAAUUGGGGCUAAUACUGGAUAUGACUGCUGACCGCAUGGUCUGGUGGUGGAAAGAUUUAUCGGCUGGGGAUGGGCCCGCGGCCUAUCAGCUUGUUGGUGGGGUAGUGGCCUACCAAGGCGACGACGGGUAGCCGGCCUGAGAGGGUGACCGGCCACACUGGGACUGAGACACGGCCCAGACUCCUACGGGAGGCAGCAGUGGGGAAUAUUGCGCAAUGGGCGAAAGCCUGACGCAGCGACGCCGCGUGGGGGAUGACGGCCUUCGGGUUGUAAACCUCUUUCAGCAGGGACGAAGCGGAAGUGACGGUACCUGCAGAAGAAGCACCGGCCAACUACGUGCCAGCAGCCGCGGUAAUACGUAGGGUGCAAGCGUUGUCCGGAAUUAUUGGGCGUAAAGAGCUCGUAGGCGGUUUGUUGCGUCGGCUGUGAAAACCUGAGGCUCAACCUCAGGCCUGCAGUCGAUACGAGCAGACUAGAGUGUUGCAGGGGAGACUGGAAUUCCUGGUGUAGCGGUGAAAUGCGCAGAUAUCAGGAGGAACACCGGUGGCGAAGGCGGGUCUCUGGGCAACAACUGACGCUGAGGAGCGAAAGCGUGGGGAGCGAACAGGAUUAGAUACCCUGGUAGUCCACGCCGUAAACGUUGGGCGCUAGGUGUGGGGCUCA